AACCUUAUGGACCUGCGGGCGUAUACCUGCGGAGGGAUCAUUACAGAGAUUGAUGCACCAAGUGCAUCACCUCCAACCCCUUGCGAAAACAACUAUCAUGUGUUGCUUUGGCAGUGUUUCCACUGCCAGAGGUUUACAUAAAAUCAGCUGUUGGAUGUUGUCUGAGUAAACUAUAUGAAUUAUUUAAAACUUUUAACAACGGAUCU
rnacentral:misc_RNA from 1 species